rnacentral:rRNA from 1 species
GACGAACGCUGGCGGCGCGCCUAACACAUGCAAGUCGAACGAGCGAGAGAGAGCUUGCUUUCUUGAGCGAGUGGCGAACGGGUGAGUAACGCGUGAGGAACCUGCCUCAAAGAGGGGGACAACAGUUGGAAACGACUGCUAAUACCGCAUAAGCCCACGACCCGGCAUCGGGUUGAGGGAAAAGGAGUGAUCCGCUUUGAGAUGGCCUCGCGUCCGAUUAGCUAGUUGGUGAGGUAACGGCCCACCAAGGCAACGAUCGGUAGCCGGACUGAGAGGUUGAACGGCCACAUUGGGACUGAGACACGGCCCAA